GACGAACGCUGGCGGCGUGCCUAAUACAUGCAAGUAGAACGCUGAAGGAGGAGCUUGCUUCUCUGGAUGAGUUGCGAACGGGUGAGUAACGCGUAGGUAACCUGCCUGGUAGCGGGGGAUAACUAUUGGAAACGAUAGCUAAUACCGCAUAAGAGUAGAUGUUGCAUGACAUUUGCUUAAAAGGUGCAAUUGCACCACUACCAGAUGGACCUGCGUUGUAUUAGCUAGUUGGUGGGGUAACGGCUCACCAAGGCGACGAUACAUAGCCGACCUGAGAGGAUGAUCCGCCACACUGGGACUGAGACACGGCCCAGACUCCUACGGGAGGCAGCAGUGGGGAAUUUUGGACAAUGGGCGCAAGCCUGAUCCAGCCAUGCCGCGUGUCUGAAGAAGGCCUUCGGGUUGUAAAGGACUUUUGUCAGGGAAGAAAAGGGCGGGGUUAAUACCCCUGUCUGAUGACGGUACCUGAAGAAUAAGCACCGGCUAACUACGUGCCAGCAGCCGCGGUAAUACGUAGGGUGCGAGCGUUAAUCGGAAUUACUGGGCGUAAAGCGGGCGCAGACGGUUACUUAAGCAGGAUGUGAAAUCCCCGGGCUCAACCUGGGAACUGCGUUCUGAACUGGGUGACUAGAGUGUGUCAGAAGGAGGUAGAAUUCCACGUGUACCAGUGAAAUGCCUAAAGAUGUGGAGGAACACCGAUGGCGAAGGCGACUUUCUGGUCUGUUGCUGAAGAUGAUGUGCGAAAGCGUGGGGAUCAAACAAGAUUAUAUACCCUGGUAGUCCGCGCCGUAAACGAUGAGUGCUAAGUGGGGGGGGGUUUCCUCCCCUUAGUAGCGAAGCUACNGCGUGAAAUCGACCGCCUGGGGAGUACGGUCGCAGAUUUAAACNUCAAAGGAAUGACGNNGGACCCGCACAAGCGGUGGAUGAUGUGGAUUAAUUCGAUGCAACGCGAAGAACCUUACCUGGUCUUGACAUGUACGGAACCCUCCAGAGACGGAGGGGUGCCUUCGGGAGCCGUAACACAGGUGCUGCAUGGCUGUCGUCAGCUCGUGUCGUGAGAUGUUGGGUUAAGUCCCGCAACGAGCGCAACCCUUGUCAUUAGUUGCCAUCAUUAAGUUGGGCACUCUAAUGAGACUGCCGGUGACAAGCCGGAGGAAGGUGGGGAUGACGUCAAGUCCUCAUGGCCCUUAUGACCAGGGCUUCACACGUCAUACAAUGGUCGGUACAGAGGGUAGCCAAGCCGCGAGGUGGAGCCAAUCUCACAAAACCGAUCGUAGUCCGGAUUGCACUCUGCAACUCGAGUGCAUGAAGUCGGAAUCGCUAGUAAUCGCAGGUCAGCAUACUGCGGUGAAUACGUUCCCGGGUCU
rnacentral:rRNA from 1 species